UACAGAGGUCUCAAGCGUUGUUCGGAUUCAUUGGGCGUAAAGGGUGCGUAGGCGGCGCGGUAAGUCGGGUGUGAAAUCUCGGAGCUUAACUCCGAAACUGCAUUCGAUACUGCCGUGCUUGAGGACUGGAGAGGAGACUGGAAUUUACGGUGUAGCGGUGAAAUGCGUAGAGAUCCGGAAGAACACCGGUGGCGAAGGCGGCCUGCUGGGCAGUUGCUGACGCUGAGGCGCGACAGCGUGGGGAGCAAACAGG
rnacentral:rRNA from 1 species